rnacentral:lncRNA from 1 species
UAGUUUCUUUGGAGUAAUAGGAAAAUUUAACUUUUUUGGGGCAAUGGAGAACUAGAAAUUACUCCCUCCAUCCCAAAAUUAAAAUAUAUUUUUCUUAUUUGUUCCAUUAAAUACAUCUAAUAUUAUUAUAUCAUUUUUAUUAGUGAUUAUUCAAAUAUAUAAUAAAUAAUUUAUAAUAUUGAGGUUAAUGAUGUGCAAUAUAUAUGAAACAUGGAAAUAUCAAAAUGAUGACCGGGUAAAUAGAAGAAUUUAUUCUCCUGUCGAAAACCCCUAAUCCAUCAGUCAUUACGCUCUCAAAACCCUGCCCCCUUUUGUUUUCUACGAUCAGCCGCACCAGUCUGCCGAGAGAUCGAGAGAGGAGGAACGACGACGUAAAGAGUACGCUUCCCUUCACUCUUCUUAUUUUUAUGAACUCCAACUGUUCCCGUCAACUAAUAUCUGUUUCUCAUAUGUAUUUGUAUAUUUGAUGACACAUCAGUUAGUCGUUUUUGAUCUCAGUAUUCACAUGUUUUUCUGAUAAUUUUGAUGAUAUGAUGCAUUCUCAUUGUUGGGUUCGAUUCAUUGAACAUUUGUUCAUGCAAUUAAUUUUUUGUAAUUGGGUUGAAUUUUGGGCGUCCAUUUGCUUACUUGCGACUUGUGAGCCAUUUAAAGGAAAAAAAGAAAGCAUAAAAUAGGAGCAGAAGAACCACAAUCCACUUAAAGAAAAAUCAAAUAAAAUAGAAGAAGAAUAAUUUCAAGUAUUAUGCUGUGUAGUUGAUAUGAAAAUUAAUGUGGCAAACCACUUAUAGAAAUUCUCAGUGUUCUGUAGGAAUCUGCAAUCGACGUUUAUGGCUUCUAUUAUUUCUCCUAACAGCUUUCUUUACUACCUCUCUUUAUGCCGUACAGAAAAAAUGGGAGGAACAAUUGAGGAAUCAUCUAAAGCAAUUGCUGAUCUAUCCGUUGACAACUCUAAUCCUAUGCAAUCAGAACCAGAAGUUCUCAGCAAGAAGGAAGUUGCAAACUCACACAAAUCCAACAUUCUUAAAUUUGAUAUGGAUUCAUUCAAGUUUUGAAUGAAACAAAUAUCUGAAAUGACAACAAGUGUGUGCAUUUCCCUAUCAAAACCCUUGAACUAACCUUUUAGACACGAAGGGUAUUCUGAGGCUGAAUCGUCUGGAUUCACCAAAAUUUUGGAAUAGAGGGAGUAGCUUUCUGCUCUCUCUCAUGCUGUCUCUGUACACACACACACACACACACACACACACACACACAUAUAUAUACAUACAUACAUACAUAUAUAUGUAUACUCAAAUUAUGUAUCUAUCAUAUAUUUUCUGCCAUGCUAGAAUCUUAUUUUGAAUUCUUUUGAUUUUACAACUGUAGCGCUCGCAAGAAAGAAUUGAAAAAUAAACAGAAAGAGGAGGAACGACGACGUAAGGAAGAGGAGAAGGAGAAAAAGGUACACUCUCAGCUGUUUUUGAUUCCAUGAAAUCCUUUGUUUAAUUUUCAUUUGUAAGUUUGAUUUAUUUAGUUUAAGUGACUAUUACACUGUAAAACUUGUGACUAGGAACUUAUAUCAGAAUUGGAGAGGUAACUCCAUUGUUCAAGUAUGCCUAGGCAGCCCGAAAGUUUGAAAAAAGCCAUUCUCCACGGAGGAUUUUGUUUUUUUCCACCUGUAUAUCCUUUGGACUUGCCUUGCAUGCUCCUUCCUCUAUUAGAAAUAUUUUCUUUUAUUUAAAUAAAAAUUAUGGAUAUGUCAUAAUAUGAACUGAUUCAUUUAUCUAUAGAUAAAAGUACUUUUACAUACUUGAUUAUUCAUGUUGUGGUUUUAUGAUUAUGUUGGACAAGUUUAAAUAAAUAACAAGUUUCAGUUUCAAUGCUUAGGAGUUUGAUAUUAUCUCUGAUCCUUUAUGUGGCUUCUCUUUUUCUUGUUAAUCUCUUGAUUCUAUUCAUCUUUUAAUUUUCCCCUGCAAAGGAUAGUAUAAAAAAUGAACUAAGAGCACGAUUAAAACAUUGAAAACAUGAGUUGUGUCAAACUUGAAAGAAAGGCCUAGGCUUUUACUAUUUUUAUUGGAGUUAUCUUCUAUAGAGAUCACCACAAAGACACACUGACACACAGCACUGCUGCUUGUCAUAAUGCUACCCUAUUAUUUUCCAUUCAUGAAAAAUUAGUUUCUUAAAUUAAUUGACAAGUAAUUGCUGUUUCUGAAAAUGUUUUGGAUCAAGUUGUAAUAUCUGUUUCUCAUAUGUAUUUGUAUAUUUGAUGACACAUCAGUUAGUCGUUUUUGAUCUCAGUAUUCACAUGUUUUUCUGAUAAUUUUGAUGAUAUGAUGCAUUCUCAUUGUUGGGUUCGAUUCAUUGAACAUUUGUUCAUGCAAUUAAUUUUUUGUAAUUGGGUUGAAUUUUGGGCGUCCAUUUGCUUACUUGCGACUUGUGAGCCAUUUAAAGGAAAAAAAGAAAGCAUAAAAUAGGAGCAGAAGAACCACAAUCCACUUAAAGAAAAAUCAAAUAAAAUAGAAGAAGAAUAAUUUCAAGUAUUAUGCUGUGUAGUUGAUAUGAAAAUUAAUGUGGCAAACCACUUAUAGAAAUUCUCAGUGUUCUGUAGGAAUCUGCAAUCGACGUUUAUGGCUUCUAUUAUUUCUCCUAACAGCUUUCUUUACUACCUCUCUUUAUGCCGUACAGAAAAAAUGGGAGGAACAAUUGAGGAAUCAUCUAAAGCAAUUGCUGAUCUAUCCGUUGACAACUCUAAUCCUAUGCAAUCAGAACCAGAAGUUCUCAGCAAGAAGGAAGUUGCAAACUCACACAAAUCCAACAUUCUUAAAUUUGAUAUGGAUUCAUUCAAGUUUUGAAUGAAACAAAUAUCUGAAAUGACAACAAGUGUGUGCAUUUCCCUAUCAAAACCCUUGAACUAACCUUUUAGACACGAAGGGUAUUCUGAGGCUGAAUCGUCUGGAUUCACCAAAAUUUUGGAAUAGAGGGAGUAGCUUUCUGCUCUCUCUCAUGCUGUCUCUGUACACACACACACACACACACACACACACACACACAUAUAUAUACAUACAUACAUACAUAUAUAUGUAUACUCAAAUUAUGUAUCUAUCAUAUAUUUUCUGCCAUGCUAGAAUCUUAUUUUGAAUUCUUUUGAUUUUACAACUGUAGCGCUCGCAAGAAAGAAUUGAAAAAUAAACAGAAAGAGGAGGAACGACGACGUAAGGAAGAGGAGAAGGAGAAAAAGGUACACUCUCAGCUGUUUUUGAUUCCAUGAAAUCCUUUGUUUAAUUUUCAUUUGUAAGUUUGAUUUAUUUAGUUUAAGUGACUAUUACACUGUAAAACUUGUGACUAGGAACUUAUAUCAGAAUUGGAGAGGUAACUCCAUUGUUCAAGUAUGCCUAGGCAGCCCGAAAGUUUGAAAAAAGCCAUUCUCCACGGAGGAUUUUGUUUUUUUCCACCUGUAUAUCCUUUGGACUUGCCUUGCAUGCUCCUUCCUCUAUUAGAAAUAUUUUCUUUUAUUUAAAUAAAAAUUAUGGAUAUGUCAUAAUAUGAACUGAUUCAUUUAUCUAUAGAUAAAAGUACUUUUACAUACUUGAUUAUUCAUGUUGUGGUUUUAUGAUUAUGUUGGACAAGUUUAAAUAAAUAACAAGUUUCAGUUUCAAUGCUUAGGAGUUUGAUAUUAUCUCUGAUCCUUUAUGUGGCUUCUCUUUUUCUUGUUAAUCUCUUGAUUCUAUUCAUCUUUUAAUUUUCCCCUGCAAAGGAUAGUAUAAAAAAUGAACUAAGAGCACGAUUAAAACAUUGAAAACAUGAGUUGUGUCAAACUUGAAAGAAAGGCCUAGGCUUUUACUAUUUUUAUUGGAGUUAUCUUCUAUAGAGAUCACCACAAAGACACACUGACACACAGCACUGCUGCUUGUCAUAAUGCUACCCUAUUAUUUUCCAUUCAUGAAAAAUUAGUUUCUUAAAUUAAUUGACAAGUAAUUGCUGUUUCUGAAAAUGUUUUGGAUCAAGUUGUAAUAUCUGUUUCUCAUAUGUAUUUGUAUAUUUGAUGACACAUCAGUUAGUCGUUUUUGAUCUCAGUAUUCACAUGUUUUUCUGAUAAUUUUGAUGAUAUGAUGCAUUCUCAUUGUUGGGUUCGAUUCAUUGAACAUUUGUUCAUGCAAUUAAUUUUUUGUAAUUGGGUUGAAUUUUGGGCGUCCAUUUGCUUACUUGCGACUUGUGAGCCAUUUAAAGGAAAAAAAGAAAGCAUAAAAUAGGAGCAGAAGAACCACAAUCCACUUAAAGAAAAAUCAAAUAAAAUAGAAGAAGAAUAAUUUCAAGUAUUAUGCUGUGUAGUUGAUAUGAAAAUUAAUGUGGCAAACCACUUAUAGAAAUUCUCAGUGUUCUGUAGGAAUCUGCAAUCGACGUUUAUGGCUUCUAUUAUUUCUCCUAACAGCUUUCUUUACUACCUCUCUUUAUGCCGUACAGAAAAAAUGGGAGGAACAAUUGAGGAAUCAUCUAAAGCAAUUGCUGAUCUAUCCGUUGACAACUCUAAUCCUAUGCAAUCAGAACCAGAAGUUCUCAGCAAGAAGGAAGUUGCAAACUCACACAAAUCCAACAUUCUUAAAUUUGAUAUGGAUUCAUUCAAGUUUUGAAUGAAACAAAUAUCUGAAAUGACAACAAGUGUGUGCAUUUCCCUAUCAAAACCCUUGAACUAACCUUUUAGACACGAAGGGUAUUCUGAGGCUGAAUCGUCUGGAUUCACCAAAAUUUUGGAAUAGAGGGAGUAGCUUUCUGCUCUCUCUCAUGCUGUCUCUGUACACACACACACACNNNN